UUCCAGUGGCAGCCAAUUUUUAGCCCAAAUCAAUGUUUUACAUGAGUCAUGCAACAAUCACCAUGCAUUCAUGUCAACUCUUCUUGAUUUUCACGCAGCAUGCACACACACAACUAUAUGCCACGUGAAAUUCAUGUCUGAAAAUUUGGAGGCGUGGCUUGCAGUCAGCUGAGUUUGGGUUUGCAUGAUUAUAAUGCAACCUUCGCAUGGAAAUUGGUAUGGAAAAAAGUCAUACACCUUUUCAUGCAACAUUGUGGUGAAAAGUUGUUUGAGUGAGAGGUGGAAGGUGGAAGGUUGCAUGAAUUUCCUGUCUGAAAAUUUCGGCUCGGUUGCCGAUCGACAACCUCGAAGAUUUCAAUCAUCAGUUCAUUCUCGGCGCUAGACUUGGCAAGAAGCCGAUAAGCUUGAGUUUUUUUGAAAGGUGCAUUAAAAAAGUUCGAGAGUCGUUUGCCUGUAUUAAUAUUCCGUACCGGAUGAAGACGUAAUCCGACCGGACAUCACAAUGUUGGAACUUUAUGGUAGUCAAUACAGUUGACAUCGGAAGGUGGCACCAAAUAAUCAGGACCUAGAUCAGGACAAACACCACUAAAAGUGUCUCCCGUUGGCUGCUGCUCUGCUGCAACGGGAAAAUCAACCAAAAAGAACUGAAGCCUUUUCUACAACUCAAAGCUCCGCGCCAUUCAUCGCGACUUGGUGAAAAAUACGUCGACCAUUUGCACAAUGCCGUCCUCAAGAAGUUACUGCAGUUGUUGUAAAUUGAUGGAUUUUAUAGUGUUUUAGUGAUUUACUUAGUGUGAUAAGUGUUUUAAACGUUGUGUUCAAAGUUCAAAACGUUUUUAAAAUAAAAUUAUUUAAAAUA